UACGUAGGUGGCAAGCGUUGUCCGGAAUUAUUGGGCGUAAAGGGCGCGUAGGCGGUACCCUAAGUCAGAUGUGAAAACCCGAGGCUUAACUUCGGAGGUGCAUUUGAAACUGGGGAACUAGAGUGCAGGAGAGGUAAGUGGAAUUCCUAGUGUAGCGGUGAAAUGCGUAGAUAUUAGGAGGAACACCAGUGGCGAAGGCGACUUACUGGACUGUAACUGACGCUGAGGCGCGAAAGCGUGGGGAGCAAACAGG
rnacentral:rRNA from 1 species